CCUACGGGAGGCAGCAGUGGGGAAUAUUGGGCAAUGGGCGCAAGCCUGACCCAGCAACGCCGCGUGAAGGAAGAAGGCUCUCGGGUUGUAAACUCUUUUUAUCAGGGACGAAGCAAGUGACGGUACCUGUUUAAUAAGCCACGGCUAACUACGGGCCAGCAGCCGCGGCAAUACGUAGGUGGCAAGCGUUAUCCGGAUUUACUGGGUGUAAAGGGCGUGUAGGCGGGAAAGCAAGGCAGAUGUGAAAACCAUGGGCUCAACCUGUGGCCUGCAUUUGAAACUGUUUUUCUUGAGUACUGGGGAGGCAGACGGAAUUCCUAGUGUAGCGGUGAAAUGCGUAGAUAUUAGGAGGAACACCAGUGGCGAAGGCGGUCUGCUGGACAGCAACUGACGCUGAGGCGCGAAAGCGUGGGGAGCAAACAGGAUUAGAUACCCGGGUAGUC
rnacentral:rRNA from 1 species